CCGUGCUAGGUGGGGAGCUCGUGGUUCCCUGUACCCCGAAUCCACGUCACGGGGGCUGAACUCCCACCCGAGGGUCGGACCGCCGUGGACUUCGCGUCCCGACCGAGGUGUCGAGGGCCGGGUCCUGCGCAACGGGACACCGUGAAUCGAGUCAGGUCCGGAAGGAAGCAGCUCUCAGCGGCUCAGCCCGUGUGCCGCAGGGUUGCCUGGUCUGAGCCCCGGACGGGAUCACGCGUUCCGCGGCGCCGGGUCGACGGUGGGUGCACGG
rnacentral:SRP_RNA from 1 species